UACGAAGGGGGCUAGCGUUGUUCGGAAUUACUGGGCGUAAAGCGCGCGCAGGCGGCUAUCCAAGUCAGUGGUGAAAAGCCCGGAGCUCAACUCCGGAGGGUCGGUGGAUACUGCCAGUCUUGAAGGUGCUAGGGGGAGAUGGAAUUACCGGUGUAGCGGUGAAAUGCGUAGAGAUCGGUAGGAACACCAGUGGCGAAGGCGGUCUCCUGGGGCAUUCUUGACGCUGAGGCGCGAAAGCUGGGGGAGCGAACGGG
rnacentral:rRNA from 1 species